CGUUCCCGGGCCUUGUACACACCGCCCGUCACACCACGAAAGUCGGUCAACACCCGAAGCCGGUGGCCUUAAUCCGCAAGGAAGGGAGCCGUCGAAGGUGGGGUCGGUGAUUGGGGUG
rnacentral:rRNA from 1 species